AUCAUGUUCCAGGAAGUGACAUCAUUUUGGAGGGAGAGCAACAAUACAAACACCAAUUUUAUUGCAAGGCACAUCCAACCAUAACAAUAGCUUCUGAAUGCCAUGAGCUCUGCGCCAGCGGUCUGCAUACUUCGGAAUACCAACAGCAACAGUGACCUGAUGAUGACGGGUAACAAAGGGCAAGAGGAAGCAGAGUAGUACUACGUUGUUGGGACCAAACAGCCCUUAAAGGAGGUGACAAAACAAACGUCCUCAGAGAAAACUUCAAGAGCCAGUUACAUGAGCACUUCAGGGCCUGCAGCUGAAGUUUACCCGGACACUGCUUCUUUCAGGGGGCUCACAUAAACAUUACACUCUCUGUCUGGGUAAUUGAUCCCAAAUCUUGUUUGACAACGUUUUUUCACUGCCGACACUUCACAUGCUUCCUGAACAUAGCUGAGCUUUUUUGGCCGCGUUGCAAAUACCACAACAACUCAGCACUCAUUAAAUCUUGUGCUGAGUGUUCUCUGCCUUACCGCUGCCAGUGUGUGUGGUUUGGUUCAUUU